CAGGGAGACAAAACAAUGAUUUUGAUGCUGAGUGCUUUUAUUCUUAGGCCGAAAUCCUGUCACAUUAGGUCGAUCGGUACCUCAGCUUUGAAGUUAAGGAUCAGCAGCAAUGUUGAUUGCUUGAUGGAGAUUUUCAGUUCCUAAACUUUGUCUAGGUCACACCCCAAAAGGGAUGAGACUCCUGGGCCAUUAGCUCAGGUGGUUAGAGCGCACCCCUGAUAAGGGUGAGGUCCCUGGUUCAAGUCCAGGAUGGCCCAUUCGGUGUUGGGGGUUUAGCUCAGUUGGUAGAGCGCCUGCUUUGCAAGCAGGAUGUCAGGAGUUCGAGUCUCCUAACCUCCACUGACCGAACUUGAUUCCCAUCUCCAAUUUUUUGGAGUUGAGCUCGAUUGGAGUGUGAUUUAGAUGUGUCCGCUGGAUGACCCCAGCUUCCUGUCAUUCCAAGUUUUAGAUUUUAAGUCUUGAAUUUGGUUGAUAAGAUGCUGGGCUCGGAUCAAAUGAUCAAGCAAUUGAUGAUUUGAUUUGAAGUUCUAGCAGAACCUUGACAACUGCAUAGGUGAGUCUGGAAAAAACAAAGCAUCUUACAGAUGCAUUGUUUUGAAUCUGAUCUUCUGAAAGGGAGAUUGGAUCUAGAACAAUGAAAAUUCUUUUGAGCAAGAGCCGAGACUCUUGAGCGUUCUUUGAUUGGUGUCGAGCCAAUCAGAGUUUGAUCUUGUUUUUAGCAAUAAAAACUUGAGAAUCUGCUUUCAACGGCGGUAAGCGUUCAGGAGGUUAAUU
rnacentral:tRNA from 1 species